UAGGGAAUAUUAGUAAUGGGCGCAAGCCUGAACUAGCGACACCGCGUGUGCGAAGAAGGCCUUCGGGUUGUAAAGCACUUUUUGGAAGGAAUAGGAAGGAAGGUACUUCCAGAAUAAGUCUCGGCUAACUACGUGCCAGCAGCCGCGGUAACACGUAGGAGGCGAACGUUAUCCGGAUUUACUGGGCGUAAAGCGCGUGUAGGUGGUUCUGUAAGUAGGGCGUGAAAGCUCCUGGCUCAACUGGGAGAGGCCGUUCUAAACUGCAGAGCUAGAGGAUGGUAGAGGGAGGUGGAAUUCCAGGUGUAGCGGUGGAAUGCGCAGAUAUCUGGAGGAACACCAGUGGCGAAGGCGGCCUCCUGGACCAUUCCUGACACUCAGACGCGAAAGCUAGGGUAGCAAACGG
rnacentral:rRNA from 1 species